rnacentral:rRNA from 1 species
AAUUGGAGGGCAAGUCUGGUGCCAGCAGCCGCGGUAAUUCCAGCUCCAAUAGCGUAUAUUAAAGUUGUUGCAGUUAAAAAGCUCGUAGUUGAAUUUCGGGGUUAGUAGGUUGGUCAUGCCUCUGGUAUGUACUGGUCUCACUGAUUCCUCCUUCCUUAUGAACCGUAAUGCCAUUAAUUUGGUGUUGCGGGGAAUUUGGACUGUUACUUUGAAAAAAUUAGAGUGUUUAAAGCAGGCUAACGCUUGAAUACAUUAGCAUGGAAUAAUGAAAUAGGACGUUCGAUCUUAUUUUGUUGGUUUCUAGGAUUGACGUAAUGAUUAAUAGGGAUAGUUGGGGGCAUUAGUAUUCAAUUGUCAGAGGUGAAAUUCUUGGAUUUAUUGAAGACUAACUACUGCGAAAGCAUUUGCCAAGGAUGUUUUCAUUAAUCAAGAACGAAAGUUAGGGGAUCGAAGACGAUCAGAUACCGUCGUAGUCUUAACCAUAAACUAUGCCGACUAGGGAUCGGAUGAUGUUAAUUUUUUAAUGACUCAUUCGGCGCCUUACGGGAAACCAAAGUGU